CACGUAGGGGGCAAGCGUUGUCCGGAUUUAUUGGGCGUAAAGAGCUCGUAGGCGGUUCGGUAAGUCGGGUGUGAAACCUCCAGGCUCAACCUGGAGAGGCCACCUGAUACUGCUGUGACUCGAGUCCGGUAGGGGAGCGUGGAAUUCCUGGUGUAGCGGUGAAAUGCGCAGAUAUCAGGAGGAACACCAAUUGCGAAGGCAGCUCGCUGGGACGUUACUGACGCUGAGACGCGAAAGCGUGGGGAGCAAACAGG
rnacentral:rRNA from 1 species